CAAUGAGAGACAACUUUUAACGGUGGAUCUCUUGGCUCGUGCAUCGAUGAAGAACGCAGCCAGGUGCGAUAAGUAGUGUGAAUUGCAGAAUUCAGUGAAUCAUCGAAUCUUUGAACGCAAAUGGCGCUCUUGGGUUCUCCCAGGAGCAUGUCUGUCUGAGUGUCGUUUUCAAAACUAUC
rnacentral:rRNA from 1 species